CAAUAAUUGAAUUUUUAUUUCUUUUAGUUAUCGCCCUAAGAAUUUGAUCUGUGCUUUGAUCAGUGUUUGGUUUUCUGCAAUAAGUAAAUGGCAAAUCUGUUAUUAGUAGAAUAUCCAGGAGGGUAAAGAUUGUAGCAAGUAGUAGAAGAGCACAAGAAAAUUAAGACCAACGUGAGAGUCGUAUCGAAACUGAAAGAGAACGUCGUUCCCGAUCACGCUCAAAUCGUUCUGCUAAAAAAAUUAGAAGGAUAAAAUGCACAGGAUCAAGAGCGAAUGCGGCGCAAUCGUAAUUCACGGCGACAAUUUGACACAAAUUCUCGUUCAAAUAUGCAUAAAUAUUUAAAUCGAAUCGCAUUUGAAUACAAAAAAUUAUGAUGAUUAUUCGACCCAUUCGUUUGUUCAAAUUGAAAUUCAUGCUUCACGUUUGUGAAUUUUGCCGUACAAUUUAAUUCAAAAAUGAAACAACUGAAUAGUGUUGUAAUGGUGGAAAAGUUCGAGUGGAAUUAGCUGAUGACAUUCCUGAUGUAUUACGUGAACUGGUAUCAGGUGAUACACCAGAAUAAAAGUAUUUUCUGGACAAAAUUUAAACAUACAAUUCUUUAUUUCAAAUCACUUCUUAAUUAAAUCAAUUGGGGAAUUUGUUCAAAGUGACUUGGAAAAGAAUGCCAUCAAAUAAUCACAAAAUUGAGCUGAGAGAACAACUGCCGGUCAACAUGCUCGGCGUUUCAAUUUACCAAUUAUUGAUGAAGUGGCCAUAGAAAUUAUUGGUGACGAAUGCAAUCCCCGUGACAUUGUGCUUCAUCGCAGAAAUAUUUAUGAAUUACAACGUAUGUCGGAAUUGCACAGAUUAUACGAUGCGUUGCAAUAUGCGUUGCUAUUUUGAAAAGGGGAAUAUCAAUAUGAUGUUAUCAAUCCAGUUAAUCGUAUAAUUUUUAUACUUUGCAACAUGCUUUUACAGAGUAAAAUAGUAUUUUAAAUAUAAAAUGUAUAUUUAUUACAAAA